CACGUGUCAGUAGGAUGGGUUGCCAGAUAUCCCCUUUUUACUUUCCUUCUCAAGUUUCUUUCCAUCUCCAUCAGAGAAUAAGCAAUAUUUCCUGCAAAUCAUGGUUUUCUAAAGCUCUAAUUUGCAUACUGAUCAUGGGUUUCUAAACAUAUUAGAAGUCUUUGCUACUCAUGAUUAUUCCUAGAUCAUCAAAUCGGUUGUGUUUGUGGGAAAUUGGAAGCUAAUCAACAUCUCUAUCUCUAACUUCCCCGUCAACGCUUCAUCACACAAUUGCCUCAUUUAUCGUUGAUCUAGGUCUAGCUGUCGUCUUCUCUACCUACCUUUCCUGAUUCUAACUUAACAACUCUAAUGGAAGAGUUGAUGGCAGCUGACAAGUACACCCAUUUGGCAGCUAUUCGAUUUGUUUCUUUAAAAUGGGAAUUAAGUGGAUCUUGGCGCUAUGGUUAUCACGAAGAAUAUGGUUGUCUUGUUGGCGAUGUCAUCCGCCUUUGAAGGGUUUGAUCCAUAUAUCUCAUAUUCGAGUGAAACAUGGGAUGCAAAGCCUUUGUGUUUUAAAAACUUCGUUAUGAAACAAGUCUUUUGUAAAACAUUAUAACUCGUGUUGUCUUUUAUUAUCUGUCGCAACCCCCGACCCCUGCCCCGGGAGGCGGGCAGCCGCGACCUACUCAGAGAUGGUGGUAUCGGUGUUUAUCAUUAAUUUGGCAGCAGAAAUUUCAUCAGGACCGUAGUUAGGAAAUAUUUUAUCAGAGUAAAAC